UGAGGUGUAGCUCAGUGGUAGAGCACUUGGCUGGCAUGCACAAGGCCCUGGGUUGAAUUCUCAGCACUACAA
rnacentral:tRNA from 1 species